AAUGAACGUUGGCGGCGUGGAUUAGGCAUGCAAGUCGUACGAGAAUCGUAGCAAUACGAGGAAAGUGGCGGAAGGGAGAGGAUUACGUGGGAAUCUACCCUCAGAGCUGGGAUAGCGGCGGGAAACUGCCGGUAAUACCAGAUAAUGUCUGUGGACCAAAGGUGUGAUUCCGUCUGGGGAUGAGCCCACGUCCUAUUAGCUAGUUGGCAGGGUAAUGGCCUACCAAGGCAAUGAUGGGUAGCGGGUGUGAGAGCAUGACCCACCUCACUGGGACUGAGAACUGCCCAGACACCUACGGGUGGCUGCAGUCGAGAAUCUUCGGCAAUGAGCGCAAGCUUGACCGGGCGACGCCGCGUGUGGGAUGAAGGCCUUCGGGUUGUAAACCGCUGUCGUAGGGGAGCAAGAGAUGAGGGUACUCCCUCUGAUUUGAGCGAUCCUAGGAGGAAGGACGGGCUAAGUUCGUGCCAGCAGCCGCCGUAACAC
rnacentral:rRNA from 1 species